UACGAAGGGGGCAAGCGUUGCUCGGAAUUACUGGGCGUAAAGGGCGCGUAGGCGGCUUAUCAAGUCAGGCGUGAAAUUCCCGGGCUCAACCUGGGGGCUGCGCUUGAUACUGAUGAGCUUGAAUGCGGGAGAGGAUAGUGGAAUUCCCAGUGUAGAGGUGAAAUUCGUAGAUAGUUGGGAAGAACACCGGUGGCGAAGCGGCUAUCUGGCCCGUAAUUGGACGCUGAGGCGCGAAAGCGUGGG
rnacentral:rRNA from 1 species